rnacentral:lncRNA from 1 species
AUUUAUGGUCACAUAGAUUUAUUGUUUACUAUAGUGUGAUACUUUUAGAAGUAAAAGUAAUCAAUGAUAUAAAAAAAACAAAAGGAGGAAAAAGGUUUACUAGAAUUUCAGUUGCUAAAAAUUAUAUUUCAAGAACAAAAAUCAUGAAUAUACCAUUAGAUAUGCACUUGAAUCCAAAUAUUUGACCCAUUUAACGAUUUUAAACAAAUUAAACUAGGAAAAGGAAAUAAAAAACGUCCUCUUUGAAAUUAAACGAAAAAAAAAAAUAGUAGUCUUCACAGAUGAUAUCAAGAAUUGUAAUGGAAUACUAAUAGCCUUCACAUCACAGUCCUAACCCCCUUUGAAAAAGAGUGUAUAUCUUCCUAAGCCACCAGAAUGCUUCCUACAAAAUUUAUUAACCAACGAAAUCACUCUCCGGCAACGUACCAACUUCUACAUACCAAAACUUGAGAAGAUGAGCACCAAAGACGAGAAUCGGGUGUCGAAUUUACACGAUUGUGGAAAUUUACACGAUACGAGGAUUAAACGUGAACGUUCAACUGCAUAUUGCUUAAAUAUAUUUACAUAUCUCUGGUGGCCGAAGGGGAGAAUCAUCAUCCAAGCGCGACACCAUCUUCCAACAUCGUACUAGCCAGAGUGGCCUGCAACAACAAAGAAGGAGAAGAAAAGAAUAAUAUAUAUCAUCUCAGCAUAUUUAGAAACAUU